rnacentral:rRNA from 1 species
UGGGGAAUAUUGCACAAUGGAGGGAACUCUGAUGCAGCGACGCCGCGUGAGUGAUGAAGGAAUUCGUUUCGUAAAACUCUGUUCUAUGGGAAGAAAAGGACUGUACCAUAGGAGAAAGCUCCGGCUAAAUACGUGCCAGCAGCCGCGGUAAUACGUAUGGAGCGAGCGUUGUCCGGAAUUAUUGGGCGUAAAGGGUGCGCAGGCGGCUUUACAAGUUGGAUGUGAAAUAUUGUGGCUCAACCACAAACGUGCAUCCAAAACUGCAAAGCUUGAGUUAAGGAGAGGUAAGUGGAAUUCCUGGUGUAGCGGCGGAAUGCGUAGAUAUCAGGAGGAAUACCGGUGGCGAAGGCGACUUACUGGACUUAAACUGACGCUCAGGCACGAAAGCGUGGGGAGCAAGCAGG